ACGGCUCAGUAACACGUGGAUAACCUGCCCAAGGGUCCGGGAUAACCCCGGGAAACUGGGGAUAAUACCGGAUGGAUCACUCAUGCUGGAAUGCUAGGUGGUUUAAAGGUAACGCCCUUGGAUGGGUCUGCGGCGGAUUAGGUUGACGCCGGUGUAACGUACCGGCGUGCCUGUAAUCCGUACGGGUUGUGGGAGCAAGAGCCCGGAGAUGGAUUCUGAGACACGAAUCCAGGCCCUACGGGGCGCAGCAGGCGCGAAAACUCUACAAUGCAGGCAACUGCGAUAGGGGGACAUCGAGUGGCAUCCACCUUGGGUGCCUGUCCAACCGUCUAAAAAACGGUUGUUAGCAAGGGCCGGGUAAGACCGGUGCCAGCCGCCGCGGUAAUACCGGCGGCUCGAGUGGUGGCCGAUAUUAUUGAGUCUAAAGGGUCCGUAGCCGGCUUUGCAAGUCCCCUGGGAAAUCCAGCGGCUUAACCGUUGGGCUUUCAUGGGAUACUACAUUGCUUGGGACUGGGAGAGGUAGGAGGUACUCGGGGGGUAGGGGUGAAAUCCUGUAAUCCUCCGGGGACCACCGGUGGCGAAGGCGUCCUACCAGAACAGGUCCGACGGUGAGGGACGAAAGCUAGGGGCACGAACCGGAUUAGAUACCCGGGUAGUCCUAGCCGUAAACGAUGCCCGCUAGGUGUCACGACGGUCGUGAAUCGUCGUGGUGCCGUAGGGAAGCCGCGAAGCGGGCCACUUGGGAAGUACGACCGUAAGGUUGAAACUUAAAGGAAUUGGCGGGGGAGCAC
rnacentral:rRNA from 1 species